rnacentral:rRNA from 1 species
UACGUAGGGUGCAAGCGUUAAUCGGAAUUACUGGGCGUAAAGCGUGCGCAGGGCGGUGAUGUAAGACAGAUGUGAAAUCCCCGGGCUCAACCUGGGAACUGCAUUUGUGACUGCAUCGCUGGAGUGCGGCAGAGGGGGAUGGAAUUCCGCGUGUAGCAGUGAAAUGCGUAGAUAUGCGGAGGAACACCGAUGGCGGAAGGCAAUCCCCUGGGCCUGCACUGACGCUCAUGCACGAAAGCGUGGGGAGCAAACAGG